ensembl:misc_RNA Metazoa_SRP Metazoan signal recognition particle RNA
GCUAGGAGUGGUGGCUCAUGCCUGUAAUCCCAGCUACUUGGGAGGCUGAGGCAGGAGCAUUGCUUGAGCUCAGGAGUUCGAGGAUGAAGUGAGCCGUGACACAUCACUGCAUUCUAGCCUGGGUGACAGAGCGAGACCCCGACUCUA